CAACAUUGAGAAGGGAAAAUCCUACAUCAGCUACAUGUAUAAUCGAAUUAUUUGUAUAAACAAGAUAGGUACAGGCAGAGCAAUUCGGUAGAGAGAAGGGAGGGUGCAUGCUUGCAGCCUCAUUAGAUUACUCAGUUACUAUUUUAGGCUGUCUUAUUGCGCCUUCAUAGUUGGAAGUAGUAUAGAUUUUAAUCUUCUCUGUAUGAGCUUAAUAUACUUUUAUUUAGCUUCUUGCAAGCUUGAAUUUCCUGGUGCUCAAAUGCCACCUGCCACUUUUGUAGUCUCUGCUCGGAACUGUGUUUUCUUACUCUAAUUAUACAUAUACGUUCAUAUAGAGAUGGAAUCACCACCCCUCACAGUUGAAGCGACCGCUUUUACCGAGAAAAAUGAUGGACAUGACUUUGGGAUAUAAUCAAGAUGUGAAAGAAAAAGAAUCCUGGAGGCAAGAAACCCCCUAGGCGGCCGUCUGAAGGUUUAGGGUUUUCAUGCUCUCGACUCUGAUAGCUAACUCAGGAACGAACCAAUGGUAACAAUUUUCUUCAUUUAAUGGUGGAUUAAAUGAAACUAUCUUCGGUCUUUGGUACUUGCUCAACAUAUACAAUAAGUAGGUCAGUGGAACAUAUGUCCUGUCACCGUUAGAUUGGGCGAUCGAACCAUGGUACAUCAGUCACCUUCUUUAAUGAUUUUUUUGUUCUACUUACUAAUCUGCUGCUUUACUCUUCCCUGGUUUUUGUACUGACCUUUUUAGGAAAUCUUGCAGAACUGAUAUUCAAUGUAAAAUAUUCAGUGUGAUAGAAAAAGAAGGUUAGUCGAGUAUGAUCUUUAUUUCAAUCUGCCAAUGCUCUUGGUAAUUCCAGUUUGCCUAAUAGUCAACUUGUUUUUUUUGUAAUGUUCGAGCAUUCGCUGAAAUUGCUGAUCGUAUUCAAAAUUGUUGCUAAAUUGACGAUUAACCCUUGUUUCCAUGGAUAGCGAGAGGUGUGACGUGGUAUGUUUAUAGCUAUUGUGCAGUAUACACCUUGCUUACAGGUUGCCACAACUCCGCUGGUUGGAUCCACUAAACUUCCAAUGUGUCCUGUUUGCAUUAGUGUGCUUACAGUUUUGUAUUUUUGUUUCUUAGGGCCCACGCCACCAUGAUGUCACAUUUCAAUUCAUUUUGUGACCUCUGAUGAAGAGAUUUAAACACAUCUGUUCUAUCCUAUCCAUAGUUUUAACUUCAAAUAUUGUUCUGUUUAAUGCCACAACAACAUAUAUCUUUACUAUGUCAUAUUAUAUAUGAUUUUGUUGGCUUACAACCUCUCGAUAGGGCGCCCGAAUGGGCGCCUCAUGUUCUAGUUAU
rnacentral:lncRNA from 7 species